rnacentral:rRNA from 1 species
AAACUGAAGAGUUUGAUCCUGGCUCAGAUUGAACGCUAGCGGGAUGCCUUACACAUGCAAGUCGAACGGCAGCACGGACUUCGGUCUGGUGGCGAGUGGCGAACGGGUGAGUAAUGUAUCGGAACGUGCCCAGUAGCGGGGGAUAACUACGCGAAAGCGUAGCUAAUACCGCAUACGCCCUACGGGGGAAAGCAGGGGAUCGUAAGACCUUGCACUAUUGGAGCGGCCGAUAUCGGAUUAGCUAGUUGGUGGGGUAACGGCUCACCAAGGCGACGAUCCGUAGCUGGUUUGAGAGGACGACCAGCCACACUGGGACUGAGACACGGCCCAGACUCCU